AGCAGUAGCCGCGGUAAUACGGAGGGUGCGAGCGUUAAUCGGAAUUACUGGGCGUAAAGCGUACGCAGGCGGUUUGUUAAGUCAGAUGUGAAAUCCCCGGGCUUAACCCGGGAACUGCAUUUGAAACUGGCAGGCUAGAGUCUCGUAGAGGGGGGUAGAAUUCCAGGUGUAGCGGUGAAAUGCGUAGAGAUCUGGAGGAAUACCGGUGGCGAAGGCGACUAUCUGGGCCAACACUGACACUGAGGCACGAAAGCGUGGGGAGCAAACAGGAUUAGAUACCCGUGUAGUCCCUGUCUCUUAUAA
rnacentral:rRNA from 1 species